rnacentral:rRNA from 1 species
UAUUAUUUUGGAUCGUUAAUUUUUGUGCCUGAGUAGUAUUAGUUAUGUUCUUGAAACUUAAAGAAUUUGGCGGUAUCUUAUUCCAUCCAGAGGAAUCUGUCUCGUUAUCGAUAGUCCGCGUUGGACCUUACUUAGUUGCUUUGGUUUGUAUACCGCCGUUUAUUGAUUAUCUUUUUAGGGUUUGUUUAAUUUUCUGGUUUCUUUAUUUUGAUUUAUUUCAGGUCAAGGUGCAGCUUGUUUCUAAGUGGAACGAUGGAUUACAUUGGUAUUUGUUUAUUUGGAUUAUUGAUUUUAAUAUUGGUAUGAAAUUGGAUUUGGUUGUAAUGUUUUGUAGAUUGUCUUCAUGAUAAUUGGUUCUGGGGUAUGUACACAUCGCCCGUCGCUCUCGUUUAUUUGUUAAUGAG